UACGUAGGCAGCAAGCGUUGUUCGGAGUUACUGGGCGUAAAGGGCUCGUAGGUGGCCAACUAAGUCAGACGUGAAAUCCCUCGGCUUAACCGGGGAACUGCGUCUGAUACUGGAUGGCUUGAGUUCGGGAGAGGGAUGCGGAAUUCCAGGUGUAGCGGUGAAAUGCGUAGAUAUCUGGAGGAACACCGGUGGCGAAGGCGGCAUCCUGGACCGACACUGACGCUGAGGAGCGAAAGCCAGGGGAGCAAACGGG
rnacentral:rRNA from 1 species